CAGUCGCCGCGGUAAUACGGAGGGUGCAAGCGUUAUCCGGAUUUAUUGGGCGUAAAGAGCUCGUAGGCGGUCUGUCGCGUCUGGUGUGAAAUCCCGAGGCUCAACCUCGGGCUUGCAUCGGGUACGGGCAGACUAGAGUGCGGUAGGGGAGACUGGAAUUCCUGGUGUAGCGGUGGAAUGCGCAGAUAUCAGGAGGAACACCGAUGGCGAAGGCAGGUCUCUGGGCCGCAACUGACGCUGAGGAGCGAAAGCAUGGGGAGCGAACAGGAUUAGAUACCCGGGUAGUCCCUGUCUCUUAUAC
rnacentral:rRNA from 1 species